GGGUUAAGUCCCGUAACGAGCGCAACCCUUGUCCUUAGUUACCAGCACGUUAUGGUGGGCACUCUAAGGAGACUGCCGGUGGCAAAACCGGAGGAAGUGGGGAUGACGUCAAGUCAUCAUGGCCCUUACGGCCUGGGCUACACACGUGCUACAAUGGUCGGUACAAAGGGUUGCCAAGCCGCGAGGUGGAGCUAAUCCCAUAAAACCGAUCGUAGUCCGGAUCGCAGUCUGCAACUCGACUGCGUGAAGUCGGAAUCGCUAGUAAUCGUGAAUCAGAAUGUCACGGUGAAUACGUUCCCGGGCCUU
rnacentral:rRNA from 1 species